GGGCGGCUAGCUCAGCUGGUUAGAGCGUCGCAUUUACACUGCGAAGGUCAGAGGUUCGAAUCCUCUGCCGCCCA
rnacentral:tRNA from 1 species